rnacentral:rRNA from 1 species
GAUGAACGCUGGCGGCGUGCUUAACACAUGCAAGUCGAACGGUGAACACGGAGCUUGCUCUGUGGGAUCAGUGGCGAACGGGUGAGUAACACGUGAGCAACCUGCCCCUGACUCUGGGAUAAGCGCUGGAAACGGCGUCUAAUACUGGAUAUGUGACGUGACCGCAUGGUCUGCGUUUGGAAAGAUUUUUCGGUUGGGGAUGGGCUCGCGGCCUAUCAGCUUGUUGGUGAGGUAAUGGCUCACCAAGGCGUCGACGGGUAGCCGGCCUGAGAGGGUGACCGGCCACACUGGGACGGAGACACGGCCCAGACUCCUACGGGAGGCAGCAGUGGGGAAUAUUGCACAAUGGGCGCAAGCCUGAUGCAGCAACGCCGCGUGAGGGAUGACGGCCUUCGGGUUGUAAACCUCUUUUAGCAGGGAAGAAGCGAAAGUGACGGUACCUGCAGAAAAAGCGCCGGCUAACUACGUG